ensembl:lncRNA
CUUGUCUUCCCUGCUAUUCUCCUGUCCACACUCCAGUCCAGAAGGUGGGAUAAAUGCAUCUGUAAGCUGAUAUGUCAAACGCCAUCAAGCCCCAAAGAAGAAGGGAGGAGGACAGCACUACUGUGGUAGAGGAGCAGCGUGUGUGCAGACACAGCUGCUGCUGAUGAAUUGGACUGAACCUAGAGAAGAGACAGAAGCUAAAGUAUUGAUCCCGUCAAGUUAGUGUGGAUCUGAUACCAAUAUCAACAUCUGUGCCACGUCUAUUGAUGCUUGUAUCGAUCCGCCCAGCCUCAGUUCAAGCAGCAAUGGGUUCAGUACAGUAUCUGAGAGAGUUCAUCAAGGAGAGACUAACUGCUGUUUGUGAAGAAAUCUUCUCAGAGGUUCAAAAAACCAUCAUCCAGUAUGAGGAGGAGAUCAACCGUCUACACAGACAGGAUAUCAACCGGAAACCUGAUAGAAACUCACACAUCAUAGACCUCCCAAAACAACAUGACUGUAAGGAAGAGGAGGAUCUGGAUGAGCAGCAGGUCUGUAACCAGGAGAGGAACUCCAGCCUGGACCAAGAGGACCCAGAGACUCCACAGAUUAAAGAGGAAAAGGAGGAACUCGGCAGCAGUCAGAAGGGAGAGCAGCUUGGGCUGAAGCAGGAGGCUGAAGGCAUUAUUGUCUGGACUGAUAAAAAGCAGCUCAGACUGCUGGAGACCAUCUGGAAACCUGUGAUAAAGUUACACAGAAUAGAUGUCCUACAGCAGCAUGCUUUUGAGGAAGAGGAGGUUCUUACAGACCAGCACAUCUUUAACCAGGAG